GAUGAACGCUGGCGGCGUGCCUAAUACAUGCAAGUCGAGCGAACAGACGAGGAGCUUGCUCCUCUGACGUUAGCGGCGGACGGGUGAGUAACACGUGGAUAACCUACCUAUAAGACUGGGAUAACUUCGGGAAACCGGAGCUAAUACCGGAUAAUAUAUUGAACCGCAUGGUUCAAUAGUGAAAGACGGUUUUGCUGUCACUUAUAGAUGGAUCCGCGCCGCAUUAGCUAGUUGGUAAGGUAACGGCUUACCAAGGCAACGAUGCGUAGCCGACCUGAGAGGAUGAUCUGCCACACUGUAACUGAGACACGGUCCAGACUCCUACGCGAGGCAGCAGUAGGGAAUCUUCCGCAAUUGGCGAAAGCUUGACGGAGCAACGCCGCGUGAGUGAUGAAGGUCUUCGGAUCGUAAAACUCUGUUAUUAGGGAAGAACAAAUGUGUAAGUAACUAUGCACGUCUUGACGGUACCUAAUCAGAAAGCCACGGCUAACUACGUG
rnacentral:rRNA from 1 species